rnacentral:rRNA from 1 species
AUUGAACGCUGGCGGCAGGCCUAACCCAUGCAAGUCUAACGAGUGGCGGACGGGUGAGUAAUGUCUGGGAAUCUGCCCGAUGGAGGGGGAUAACUACGGGAAAAGGUAGCUAAUACCGCAUACCAUCGGAUGGGACCAGAUGGGAUUAGCUAGUAGGUGGGGUAACGGCGCACCUAGGCGACGAUCCCUAGCUGGUCUGAGAGGAUGACCAGCCACACGGGAACUGAGCAACGGGCCAGACUCUGACGGGAGGCAGCAGUGGGGAAUAUUGCACAAUGGGCGAAAGCCUGAUGCAGCCAUGCCGCGUGUAUGAAGAAGGCCUUCGGGUUGUAAAGUACUUUCAGCGAGGAGGCGUUACUCGCAGAAGAAGCACCGGCUAACUCCGUGCCAGCAGCCGCGGUAAUAC